GACGAGGUGGCCGAGUGGUCACAGGGAUGGAGUGCUAAUCCACUGUGCUCUGCAUGUGUGGGUUCGAACCCCAUCCUCCUCC
rnacentral:tRNA from 1 species